GAAUUUUGGGCAAUGGGCGAAAGCCUGACCCAGCAACGCCGCGUGAAGGAUGAAAUCCCUCGGGAUGUAAACUUCGCAAGAACAGGAAGAAUAAGUAAGGGUUAAUAUCUCUUACGAUGACGGUACUGUUUGUAAGCUCCGGCUAACUCCGUGCCAGCCGCCGCGGUAAUACGGGGGGAGCAAGCGUUGUUCGGAUUUACGGGGCGGAAAGGGCGCGGAGGCGGACACCGCAAGUCAGGUGUGAAAGCUCUGGGCUUAACCCAGAAAGGUCAACUGAUACUGCGGGGCUAGAGUGCAGAAGGGGCAACUGGAAUUCUCGGUGUAGCGGUGAAAUGCGUAGAUAUCGAGAGGAACACCUGCGGCGAAGGCGGGUUGCUGGGCUGACACUGACGCUGAAGCGCGAAAGCUAGGGGAGCGAACGGG
rnacentral:rRNA from 1 species